UCCAUCCAUCUACCAACCAGUCAUGUUUGG
rnacentral:piRNA from 1 species